AGCCUGAAGAAAUUAUUUUAGGUGGAAUCUGCUCAGUGUGCCAUGGAAUAUUAUAAAUAGCCGCGGUACUCUGACCGUGCUAAGGUAGCAUAAUCAGUUGGCCUUUAAAUGGGGUCGGGUAUGAAUGAAAGAACGUAGCCAAGCUGUCUCGGGACUAUUUUUUCGAAUUUACUGUGUAGAUGAAAAAGUCUACAGAAAAAUAAAAGACGAGAAGACCCUUAGAAUUUAAAUGACAUUGAAGUAGUUUAUUCAAGAUAUUUUUGUUGGGGUGACAAGAAGACAGAAAAACUCUUCUGAAGAUACAAGACGAUUCUUAUAAGAUCGGAUAAAUUACCUGAGGGAUAACAGCAUAAUUUAGAGAUUAAGUUUGUGACCUCGAUGUUGGACUAGGAAAUUGAUAGACUAGCCGUUUAUUAUAUUGGUUCUGUUCGAACUGUUUUUCCU
rnacentral:rRNA from 1 species